UUGUGGCAUGCCCAAACUAAGGGCAUAGUCUGCGAAUUCCUCUCCUAGAGGCUUGACAAGGUCCUGGAACUGUUUCCAUCAGGCCCUUCUCAUCUACAUGUGCAUCACAGACACUGCUAUUCUGUGAAAGAUCUUCGUGUAGAAGCAUCAUGUCCUAUCUCGAGACCAAGAGUCUCAACCAAGUGUAGAUAUGCCUUUGGAAGCUUUCAUUCUCAAUCCCUCCCACCAUCCUCGGCCUUCCUAUUUACUUGUUAAUUCAUUUCAUUCCAGACGCAUCGUUUGGAGAGUCCAGUGUGUGGUGGUUGUGAAGGAGCCCAGCAGCUUUGUUGUCGGUGCCUCUGUUCUUCAGGUUAUAACAGCUUGGGAGGCAAGGACUGGAAAAUGACAAAAUGAGUUUUAACUCCCUACCUCUUUGAAUACUAUUUAACCAAAAAGUGAAUUGCAGCAAAGCAAAAUGCUUUCCUGUUUUCAAAUUUGGAGGCGUCCUACCAUCCAGGGAAGUCAAUUUCAUCAGCACGAUGGGAAAACACCAAGUCCUUUUCAAAUGGAAUCGUCCUCUCUGAAACCAAAGUUCCACAGAAGCAAAUUACCAGCUGGCGCCGGUGUGGGAUUCAAGAUGAGGAUCCUACUUUGUGUUUCUGCCACCCCCUCAUCAUUUCUAAGCCACCGACCCACAGAAGCCACCUGAUCUGCUUCUCAUCCGGGUCUCUUCGAGGGUGGGAGAGUAAUGGCCAGGAACACACAGAGCACACAGCCCCUGCACAUCUGUAAAAGGAACAUCCAGCCUGGGCCUGGAAUAAACUGUUCUCUGCGGAAA